GGGAAGUUGGCUCAGUGGUAGAGUGCUUGUCUUGCAUGCAUGAGGCCCUGGGUUCAAUUCCUCA
rnacentral:tRNA from 1 species